AAAUAGUACUGAUCAUCCAUUAUCUUAAAAUUAGUCUUAUAAUCACUAUACGUUCCGUUUCUUAGGAAGCUAGUAAUGGGACUAGGAAGUGCUGGUUUAGUAAUAUCCUCUGUUCAGAUUACAAAUAUCAUCUUAGCUUUGAUUAUAAAGGAACUGAAGGAUUAUACUGGUGCAUCUUCAUGGAUGUAUCACUAAUGUAAUGAUGGUUCAUUAUAUUUUUAACUACUCUGCUUUUCCUAUGCAUAUGUUACAUAACUUACCACAGAUUCCCUCUGUAAUAGCUGUGAGACAUUUUCCAUUUGGCCAUUUUGUUUUUAGCAUAAUUAGUCUAAUUUUCUAAAAAUAUGUUAGCUGAUGUUUCUUGCCUAUGAAUUUUAGGUACCAAGAAUGUGGUCAACUUCUUCCACCACAUCACUUGGUACAAGGAUUCCUUUCUUCAAUUCUUCCCGUCUUCUCUCCAAAUGAUAACCUACUAUUAUCCCUUGAUGGAAACUUCUGUAAUGCUGUCUAAGGGAAGGGAAAAUCCCAACACACAUAUGUGUACACACACAAGUACCAGAAGUACCUUCUCAAAAAAGCUUUCAUGGACUUAUUCUUAAUGCAGAUCACACAAGCUGAAAACAUCCUCUCUUUUAGGCCUAAUUACAUCCCUUAUAAAUGGAGACAGCUGUUUGGGUUUUUUUUCCAGCUUCUUCAAUUCCUAGAAGGUUACUCUACCUCAGUGCCUGUCAGGUUACUGCUGCCAAGGAGUAUACAGCUGUACUCAGAGAGGAUAAUCUAUCAGCCAUCUCAUCUGCAAGAUCACAGACUUCAUACAUGGCCAAACUUCGCUAGACCAAGUCUGAUGCUGCUCUCAUGAUGUGGAAGGGGUUCUGAUUCGCUGUGUUUUGGCUUUGGCAUGUGGUCAGAGUUGGUGAGAGAAGACCAGGAGGCUACCAGCUCUAUGCAAAACUAUCCUACAAAAAAUUGGACAACAUGCCUUGAACUGAAAUAUGAAGAUUCAAAUCUAGAAUACUUGAAUAGAAACUCUGCAGAAAAAGACACAGAAAGAAGGAGCUUUCUGAACUUGAAGGAGGUUGGUAAACUGGAGGUUGACAACGAAAUGUUGGUGGCCCCCCACAUAGAUGGGAUGGGGACAGUGCUGUGUGGAAGCAUUCCAGUUGGAGGAGAGCUUUGCUAUGAGGGGAUGCUCUCAGGUCAGGUGAAGACAGCGUGAUUCUUGCAAACCAGGUUACUGGGAACUCUUGUAUCAAGGCACCGGCAUUUGACUGUGUCCUGUGAGAAGAACAGUUUACACACAGCUGAAGAACAGAGUCAUUAUUUAAACUGUAAAACUUCGUUUCAGGCUGCUUUCAUCUUGAUGGACAUUAAUGUAACUUUCUUUUGCCAAGCUGAAGUUAAACUAUUUGUCUUGCAGUCUCAUUCCAAAAUUGAGAAAGUGCCUCACCCCUAAAAGGAACAGUACGUGAUGAAACAGAAUAUGCCUGAACUUAUAUUUAAUUUUGCUGACAAAUGUAUUCUGAGUAACUGACUGUUCUUUAGCUUCUUUUUCAGUCUUCUAUUUGUAUGAGUUCUGUUUUUUGGGGAUUUUUGGGGUUUUUGUUUUUUGUUAUGUUUUGUUUUAGUAGUGAUCUUUCCACAAGCUGGUGACAUAAUGUCAUCUGAAGACUGGAAUUGGUCAGAACAUGUUUGAUGAAAUGUAUUUUAACUAAAAUAUACUGUUUCUUGGAUGCCAAAACUUUUUGCAGGGGGGCUGGUGUUGAUGAAGGAGGAGUUUUCUGUAUCCCAGGAUGAGGUCUUUGAUUAUGUCUGAUCUGAAAGCCUGACUGAAAACUUGAUCUCUCUAACUCAGAAAUAGAUGUUUCAACACAAUUCCACACCCUUCCAUUUGAAAAGAUUUUGUUUUCAUUUCAAGACCAUAUGAAAAAAUUGGAAAACCUGCAGUUUUGGAAUGGAGUUAUUCCACAGUAACCCAGCCAGCUCUGAUCAAGAUCUCUCCCACAAAUGACUGUGCCAGAUUUCCAGAAAAGGGUGUGGGGCUACAGCCAUAGUUUUGUUCUUCAGAAGUCACCUGUCACUUUCAUUGUAGCUUGACCUUCAACAUACUUUUCUUUUCCACUGAGGCAGCUAUGAGCUCUCAGGGCAGACCACAAGUGGCAUGUAGCUGGAGCUGUGCCUCAUCUUGUUGGCUUGGGAAGCUGUCAUAGCCAUCCCUGCUAGUUUCAGUAGUGUGGCCAUUCGGGGAAAAGCAAACAAACAAAAAAAACCAACAAGCCAAAACACCACGACCAACAACAAAAAAAAACAAUUAAAAAAAAAAAAAAGAAAGAAAAAAGGGAAGAAAAAGGUUUAUAAAUGUUUGACUUCAAAUUCCUGCACAAGGGUGACUUAAUUGAAAUCCACACCCUGUUGAACAGGGAUAAGCUGUGCCAAAUAAAGUCUCAGCUUCUGUUUCAUUUGAAACCUAUGGAGGGAAGAUAGGUCAUUAAGUCUGUGGUUUCUAGAAAUCUCUCUGAUGUGGAGUUAAACUUUUUUUAUUCAUAACUCUUGUUUUCUUAAUUGAGUGUAAUGUUGAUUGUACAGCCUGAAUUUUAAUGGCCUGUUCCUUGGUUUAAAGAGAUGGAGUCAUACUUUCAACCUAUGAGGCCGUGGUUGGAUGUUAGGUAGAUAAGCAAAAAGCCUGAUCAAUCCCCUAACCAGGUUUUUGUUCUUGUAGUAUAUGCUGAAAUUUAUUGGUCAUGUUUCCACUUACUGAAGUCUCAGACCAUUUCCCAAUACACUAUAAACUUAGAUUAAAACCUGAAAUAUCUUUGCUGAAACAUUUUUUUUGGGGGGGGGGGCGUUCCCUGAAAGUUCUAGAAAUUAUCUAGAGAGAAAAAAAAAAAACUUUUAAUUAAUUUUUUUUCCAAAUUAUGACAUUAUUUGAAAUCAUGAAUAGUUUUGAGAAGUGGCUUUCCUGUUCAUAGAAGUAUUAACAGCAAAUACUAUGUUCUUCUUUGAAAAGUGCAAUGAAAAUCAGUAGGCACUUCUAUUGAACUUUUCUUACAUAGAGGAUCUUGCGUUGCCAUUCUCAGAAGUAUAUAAGGGGUGAAUUCUCCAAGAAGUCAUAACCAGCCAAUUAUAUCAGGAAUCAAUUGUCUAAAUACUCAUUGUGGAGGUGGCCCUUGGAGAAUGAAGCAUUGGUGACUGUAUGUGGGAGGAAGGCUCAUGAUUCCUCAGACCACUUCUGAAAAUGGGAAUUGCUAUCACUGAAACACCAUAGGAAAAUGGGAUGCAGACCUUUAGGAGGUUCCUUUUGUAGAUCUUUGGAAGGUAUAUCUUCAGGGAUGGCCUCUGCAGAUGGUUUCACAGUGGUGGCUGUAAAGCUGAGUCUGGCAGAACGUAUGGUUUUUACUUACUUUAAAUGUCAUACACAGGGACAGGAGUUGGAUUCGAUGAUCCUUGUGGGUCCCUUCCAACUCAGAACAUUCUAUGACGUAACACAUACGCUUCCCAGCUGGUGUGCAGAAACCAGUGAGUAUGUCACCAAGAUUACUGCAGUCCAAUAAAGGGCAAAUAUUCAACUCCACCUUUUCAAAGCAGGAAUUUAUCAUUUACUCUAGCUGUUACGGUUUGUGGUCUCUAUACUACUUACAUGCUGUAGCUGUUAGAAAGGUAUUCCCAUCCCUCAUAAUUUUGUAGUGUUUACUUACCCUUGUUAUGACACUUCUAUUGACUCCUCAGUUGUAAUUAAAAGUAGUAAUUCAGUAAUCCUGAUAUAUUGCAACAAAUUGACCAAUUAUUACAUAGGAAACUGUAUUGUGGCAGUCACUGGGGACUGCCUCGCAUCAGGCGACUUUAAUUAGAGGUGGCUAAUACCUUAUCCAGCCUCCAGGGUGCAGAGGAUGUUGAGUCCUAAGUGCUAGCAUUUCUAUUAAUUUACAUGAUUUUAGGGGAUGGCAGUUCUGUAGUUGUUCAAAUAAAGGAAUCCUCUUCUGCAAAAAAAAAUAACUGGUUUGUGGUGCAUGGAGGGACACCGUCUCAGCUGCUGCUAGUUUUAGCCGAAAUCAGCGGCAUCCUGAAUUGCCAAAAUCAAUCAGUUCUGUAAAGGAGGAGAGGCCUGCAGAAGUGCCUGGCUCCUCUACAGCAGGGGUGUCAAACUCAUUUUCACCGGGAGUCACAUCAGCCUCGCGGUUGCCUUCAAAGGGCCAAAUGUAAUUUUAGGACUGUAUAAAUGUAGGAAUAGUUACAUUUAAAUGUAGGAAUAGUUACAUUUACAUGUAGUAAUAGUUACAUUUAAAUGCAGCUGUUACAUUUAAAUGUAGGAGUAGUUACAUUUACAUGUAGUAAUAGUUACAUUUAAAUGCAGCUGUUACAUUUAAAUGUAGGAGUAGUUUGAAAAUGAGUUUGACACCCCUGCUCUAAAGGAACUAAUUGGAAUCUCUUCUUCCUGAAGCCAGAAAAUAUAUUAAAAUCUAAAAUAUGUUUAUAGUAACUUGUAAUCUAAAGAAGAACCGUGUACAUAACCUGGAGAGUAAAACUGCCUGUCUACACCCCAACCUCGCCCAGUAUUACAUUUCUGUUUCGAUAAAAUGUGUAGCCGUGUGCUACUGUUUGUUUCCAAUAUUCUGGUGAGAUGCAACACGAGAAGCCCUUGAGAUCAACAGGCUGUUUGUAAGGGAUCUGCAAACUAUAAAUUAGGAAAAGACAGUGCAUAUAUUCUGUGCACAACUCACACAUGUGGGAAUUUCAAAAUACAUCUUCUUUUGCUUUAUAAAAUUUGCAGUCAUCCACCAGUGAAAAUCAGAGUUUGUGACAAACACCAUAGCACAGAACAGCAGAUACCUGUCUGUUGUGUGGAGAGCUGACAUACAAGGUGUUGCUCUGCUUUCCUCCACAGCACCCCUAACAGAGGCACCACCAUAAUCCCUUUCUUCCUUUUGAACUGCUUUCCCAUACGCAGCUCUACUGAAAACCCAGCCCCUCUGUAGUGGCUUCAGGACAGUGGAAGAAUUACAUUCAAUUAUAUACAGAAACAUAACCAUGAAAAUUUAAAUUGGGUUCAACUAGAUACCUUCUCACAUACGUUUCUUAUCUUGACUGUUUUCUAAGCUUUGGGACAGGGCCCUUGUUUAAACAUAAGUUACCAUAACAACCUGAUUUUAAAUAUGGACCUGUAGGCAGCAGUAUAACAUAAGUGUUAACACAAUAGCUUUAACCGCAGACCUUAGCUGAACUCUAGAGCCACAGUUAUUCUGCAGUACAAAUAUAGUAAUUCAAGGGUGAUCCUUUGCUUGGAUAAAAUGCUUCCAUUCAAAAAUAAUGAUAAUGUUUAAAUUAAUUAAGUUACAACUGAAGUUUUUCCAUGAUGCUAUCUUAAAAUAAUAACCUAGCCCGUAGUACCCACAGCAUAAUCAAAAUCAGGCUUUGUGAUUUUAGGUGAUAUACAAACACUUUUGUAGACCUGAGGUAAAAAAGUGAAGCAUUUCUAAGGGAAUUAAGAACCUCAAACACACCUUCUAAAGGAAUUUUGCUACUUAGGACUAGUUUUUUUCAAAAUGUUUAUGAAUUGCUCCUUUCAACAGUAGCAAAGAGUAAAUGAUAAAAGGAGACCCACACACUAUAGGUGCUCAUUUCAGUAAGCCUGUGGUACCUGGGUACACAUCUGCAGCUAUUUGCACCUAUGUACUUCUGAAAACUGGGGCUGAUACCUCACUCACUUUUAAAAAUGGAAAAUUACACCACAAAGCCUAAGCAUGAAAGAGAAAUGUGAGCCAGAAUACCUUUAGAAAACAAUUUUCAGAGAUAUAUUGUUACCUCAGGUUGUAAAUAAGCUGCCUGGGAGAGUUUAUUGUAUGAGAUUAGUUACAGAAGUAACUUGAAAUAUCUGAACAGGUAUUUGUCUGUCUGCUUAGCUGGCAGGUUGUUUAGAAAGCCGGCAUGCUAAACACUCCACAUUCUGUAGUUUGGCUCCUAAUUCAUUGUUGAAAAGAUGUUGCCCUGAAGCACCUGUACUUUACCUGGUAAAGGAAUACACAAAGGAACAGAGCUGUAAAAAGCCAAUACUUAUACAAAACCAAGGCUUUUUAUGUUAAAAUAAAUGGUAUGUCUUGAGCAGUGUGCCUUCAAAAUGUUAGGAGAUUUUCUGUCUGAAGCAGCCCUGCAAAGUGAACAGAACACAGAAGGAAAACUUAAAGGCUCAGGCUCACUUUGAGCUUUCUCUAGUAGAAAUGUUUUUUGAAUGGUGUUUUGUAUAAAUUAAUUAAGUAAUUCAGUGUCGUCUUUGCUGGAAGGGCAUGUUGGCUCUUGAUCUUAUUGCUCACAGGUGCUUUUCUUUCUAUGCCAGAGAGACAAGAAAGCAUCUGUCAAGUUACAGCAUUUAAAAGAAAGAGGCAGAAAGGUCUCUUUCCUUUUCAGCCACAGGAGUUUCUGAAAGUGUUGCCUUGUUGCUCCCCUCAGCUUCCCAGUGCUGUCCUGCAGCUCAGACCAUUCCUAGCACCACUUUGCAACGGGGAUGAACUGAGUUGAGAUUUAAUUAAGUUGGUGGAAUCAGGAAGAGGGCUUGAGCAUGGUUAUGGUGCAGGAUAUACUUGAAGGAUUCUUUUUUAUGGUGUCUGAACAGAGCCUGUGUUAAUCUUGAAGCUAAUUUGAGAUCAAAAGCACAGAAACUGAUUGAAAUCUUAUCUGAAUCAGAUUGCCGGGUCAUUUAAGGCAAACAUCAAGUAAGAUUGCUUCAAUUACUCCCAUCAGUCAACCUCAGUAACUGAGACUGGGCUAUUCAGAUCAGGGGCUGAACAACUACUGUUAUUUUAGGGUAGUAAAUGGGAUAAAUUAACUGGGGAUAAAUGGGAUAAAUUAAUAUAUUACUUAAUGCUGUGACUACAAAUCUGGAAAGCUAGCUCCUCCAUAUCUGGACCACACCAUGGCAUAGCUAUGACCCAGGCUCACAUGACCAAGGCUAUUGUCUCCAGCUCCGAAGGACUCACAGUCAGGGUCUGACAGUCCUUUGUGGAUGGUUAUACCAUUAGAUAAAAAUAUACUGUAACACUCUUCGUGAUAGCUGGAAGUCCCUAGGAGAUGUUCACUGCUAUAUGAGGUAGGGAUUAACAUUUUUUUAACCAAACCUACAGUACAGUCAGCUGCUGGCUGAAAUCCUGACAAAAGCAUCUCAUUUGAAAAUGCACCUGUGUAUGAGGAGGUUGGUUUUGUUUCAUCUGCAGUGGUUGGUGUUGUGAGGUUGAUAGUUCUGAUAUCGGUUUAUACAUACAGAAUUUUGCAAAGCUUAUACUUAGCAGAGCAUUAUUAUUCUUUUUUUUUUUUCCCCUUUUCUUGAUUGGUUUUGUUUGCAGUGCCCAUCAUUUAGAGUUCAGGUUGGGCAUCUGGAAUUUAGAACUGGAAAUCUGAGGCUAAGUUUCUGGUCUCUGCUUUCUGAUGUCUGCCUCAAGUAAGGUCUCUGGGUAUGUCUCUGCCUCUCCUUGCAGGCUGUGAAAUGACUGUUAAAGCUUUUGUUUCUUAAAAGUGAGUUGAAGUCUUUGACUGACUACAGAAGUGAAAACAGCUUUUACUUUUCCCUGUUUUCAGGCUGUUUAGGACCUGUCCCUUUUAUGCUAAUCUUUCUUUUUGGUAAUAUCCUCUUUUUCUUGGAGUAAGAAGAAAAUAUAAAGAAAGUUGUUUUUUUAAAAAAAUGUUUGUUUCAGGAAAAAAAAGAAAUUUGCUCUGAAUUAUAGAUUUUCAGCUCUCAGAAAUAAAAACUCAUGGUUAAAACUUAAGCCAGGCAUAGGUAUUUUCUUUUUCAUUGCUAUACAUGCAGCUGUUUCUGCCCUUACAGAGAAGAAUAUAUACAUUUUAAAAGAGAGCAUGGGCCCAGCUCUGAGAGUUGCUUUGUGCAGCUCUCUGGAGCUACCUCCGCCCUUUCUGCAGAGCCCACUUUUGCAGGAGCCCUGAGCAGGCUGGUGGGUUUGUAACAUACCCAAAUGGAGGCUCAGAGUAAAGCCACCAGAUUCAUUUUCUCUCCCAACCUCAGGCUGGGUCUGAAUGCAGAUAAAAGGCUGAGUCACCUCACUUGUAAAAGAGGCUGGAGGAAUCAAUAACACAUGUAAUUUACAGUGUAGCAGUAAUAGUGGAAUUUUAUAGUGGCUUUCAAUUAUAGCCUUGAAAUUUACUUCUUUGUCUUUUGGGUAUUAAAUACACAUAACACUUGCUGUAGUACAGGACUGGAGCAAGCCAAGCAAUGCGUUUUAGGUCCCAGUACAGCAAACAAGUCUCAGUGUAGUUUUGCUAUGCAUUUAUUUUGGGUGCCUAUGGUAUAUGGUAAGCUCCCAUGGCUCAGAUAUGCUUGCCUCUGUUUCCAUAUAUAUUUCACAAUUCCACAACCCAUAGCUGUUAAUAAUACCAUCAAUUUCUCUCUUUCUCUUUUUUUCUUUUUUUUUUCUUUUUUUUUUUUUUUUAAUGGCAGAUUCUUCUGUAAAUGUGAGCAACAUCUGGUUGUGAUUUGGGAGCAGAUUGGUAUUGGAAGUCACCCUGAGAGGUUUAUAGUGCUUUUUCUAGACCUAUCUACAGAAUCCACUCCCUCUUCUGCCCAAGGCCUUAAAAAAAAAAAUCUUUCUUUUUCCUUUUGAUAUCGUUACACUUUCUCUAAGGAAAGCUCUACUUGGGAACUGUGCUUAAGAUCCAAGUGAAAAGUUCUUAUCUAUUGCCUCAAGCUAUAGCUUUUACCUGCUUAACACCUGUAGUUUGAUAACACUUUACAAGAUGUGAUAAAGACACUUAAUGCCAUUAGCAAUAUUAGUGCACUAGUAAUCUUUGUUCAGAGUUAUAGGUCUGUCAUUACCCAUAGCAGUUGUUAUUUUCUGCUGCAAGCUGAUUUGUCAGGGUGUGAAAACUUCACUAUGGACAUGUAGUCCCAGUAUGAAUAUGAUCAAGCACAUUCUUGUUUCAUGAUUAACUCUGUAUGAAAAUCAGGAGGCAGUGCCUCUGGUUGCUUUAUAUUGUGAAGUAGCUGUGGACAAACAUGUCACUGUGACAAUGCCCAACAGCAGUCAACAGAUUCAGUGCACAAUCUCAGCAUGAAAAAAAAACCAAACAACUCUUAUUUCUUCCUGUGAUACUCUUCUCAGAUGUGAGGUACAGCCUUGUGAGAUCCUCCAUGUUUUUGCACACUAAUGUUCACAUUUGGAGUGUGACAGACAUUCUGUCAAUAGUACAACCCUGUAUUUUGUUCUGCAGUUCCACAGUUUUCUUGGUUCCUACCCCUGCCUUUCAGCGCUGAAGGAAUGCCAUACUGGUGAACAGAGUCUGGUUUUUCCCCAGUCUGUCUUCUUGCGUGGUUAUUGUUUGUUUUUGCAAAAUGAGUAUGUGUUGCUCUGUAGUGAUGUAAAUCAGUUUUCCCAGGUGCCAGGUAAAACAUCAGAGAAUCAAACCAAUUAAAAAAAAAAUAUAUAUGAUAAGAGGGAAAAAAAAGAAAAACAGAAAACAGAACAAUCUUAAUGUCUCCUGGGGCUGUACAGCUGUAUCAGCAGGAAAAGGAAAUUUCAGCUUGGUAGGUCUGGGAGAGAGGAAUAGACCAAACCUGUGGGACAUCCAGAAGCUGGAGGCUAUCAGGUCGACUGCUUGUGUUUAAGGACAAUCCUGCCAGAUAAGACUUAUAGUAUUUUACACCUUUCAUCCUACAGAGCAAGGCAAGGAAGGACCAGGUCCAGGUCCUCUGCAUUUGCCAGGCUUGUCUCUGCUUUGAUCUCCUUGCAAGGCAGCGCUGCUAUCUGUGCCUCCAUAAUGUCAAAUCCCACUCUCAGAAAAGUCCUUGCAAACACAGUGUUUGUCUGCAGAAGGCCACUCUGUUCUGAUCAGCUCCCAAGGAGCCUGUCCCAACGAGGGAUUCCUGGUGGGAUAUUUCCUGUUCACAUUGUUGCCUUUCUCAUGAGAAUCCACUCUCAGACCCCGUGCCUCCUUAUGGACUCUGACAGAUGGUGGCAUCCAACUGGACCCUGACUGAGCAAAAAUUACUCGCCUGUCACUCUUAUUCAGGAGCAGUUGAAGAGCAGCUGUUCUAUGAUAACACCCCUUGGAAAUAAACCUGUCAGCGGACAAAUUAUUGUUUUAUUUUAAUUUUCAUACCAAUGGCUAAAAACAGAGGGAAUUUCAUACAUUUCCUUAUCAUAUCUGUGAGUCACCUUCAAGAUCAAUAUCUCAAAAUGCAGGAGAAUAUGCCUGUGGAUUGUGAGAGGUGAGAGUAAGCAUUACUUAAGAGAAGUCCUAGAGACCCUGUGCUUCACGGUCACAGUGAGAAAAUUCACACUUAUGCUCCUAUAUUUGAGUAUUUAGAAUUCUAAAACCUACUCAGGAAAUGUGUUUUAAUUUGUGUGGGUCUUUCCCCCUGCCCCCCCACCCCCCUGCCUGUAUUAGCCAAUUGUUACUUUUAACCUGAAAUCACUGUUUAUAUCAUUCAGUAGUUUAUCACCAAGAACACCUGUGUGGGAACUGAAGUUGAUAAGGAAAUUUUCAAUACAUCACUGAUUUCUAUUAGCAAGGUGUGAGCACAUAUAGAAGUCACUAUCUGUCUUCUAUUUAAGUAAGAUAAGUGAAUUAUAAAACGGGGUGUGUCCUACCUAUGGUCAAUAUGUAAAAUCCCACCUAAAGCAAUAAACACUUAGAAACUGUAAAUUAAAUGUAAAAACAGUGUCUCAAAAUGUUCACUUAUGGAUUUUAUUAUGCAUUUAUGUUCCAGAGCAAAUCUUGGUUUGUUUUCUUUUUUUCUGUAAUGUUUGUUAAUGGCCAUGCCACAGAGACAUAUUAACUUAUAUUGCACUUCUUGGGAAUUUUUUUUGGCAGCUUCUGCUUUUUACACUGGAUUAGUGCUUGCAAGGAUGUGUGGUUGAAUACAAAUAUAGAGAGAAUCCUGAAUCAAAUAGAGUGGUUUUGGCCAAACAGAUCCUGAGGGAUGGUGCUGCGUUAGCAUGAGGGAUUGUCUUCAGAACUUCACUGCAAAUAAAGUGAAAAGGGGUCUUGCCCUUUGAAAAUACUCUUAUUUGAAAACAUCUUAUGCUGAGGAUAAUACAACCAAGGGGAAUGACAGACUUUGUGGACAGCACUGGCCUGGGAAUCAGGAUACCCGUCAUGAAUUUUCUCAGCUUUUCCUUUACCUCACAAAGUGCCUAAAUAGUACUGAAUACAGUAGCCUGAACUCUCGUGAAUCUGUGUGUUGCCUUCUUAGUUUUGAUUUCCCUAAUAAAAUACCAGUGACACUA